CCUACGGGAGGCAGCAGUGGGGAAUCUUGCGCAAUGGGCGAAAGCCUGACGCAGCCAUGCCGCGUGAAUGAUGAAGGUCUUAGGAUUGUAAAAUUCUUUCACCGAGGACGAUAAUGACGGUACUCGGAGAAGAAGCCCCGGCUAACUUCGUGCCAGCAGCCGCGGUAAUACGAAGGGGGCUAGCGUUGCUCGGAAUUACUGGGCGUAAAGGGAGCGUAGGCGGAUAGUUUAGUCAGAGGUGAAAGCCCAGGGCUCAACCUUGGAAUUGCCUUUGAUACUGGCUAUCUUGAGUACGGAAGAGGUAUGUGGAACUCCGAGUGUAGAGGUGAAAUUCGUAGAUAUUCGGAAGAACACCAGUGGCGAAGGCGACAUACUGGUCCGUUACUGACGCUGAGGCUCGAAAGCGUGGGGAGCAAACAGGAUUAGAUACCCUGGUAGUCCACGCUGUAAACGAUGAGUGCUAGUUGUCGGCAUGCAUGCAUGUCGGUGACGCAGCUACGCAUAGACACUCCGCCGUCGGGAGGUACGGUCGCGAAGAAGUUAAAACGUUAAAAGGUAAGUUAGACGGACGUGAGACGUGCCGACGACGACGACGAGGGAGAGG
rnacentral:rRNA from 1 species